AAAAUAUAACCCUGUAUUUUUAAGAUUAUUAUUGGAUUAUUUUGUUUAGCAGGUAGCUGGGCAGUUGUGAAGGUCUUCUGUGAGGUGGAGACACAGAAGAAUUCAAGAUGGAUUGCCAUGGCAAUGACUCUGACUCCAGUGAUGACAGCAGUGCCUCCAAUAACAGCAUUGAACAUCCUCCUUCUUUAAACCAACUGUUUAAAAAACAUGAGUACACCAUAAAGAAAAAACUUGGACAAGGGAUUUCAGGAAAAGCAUUUCUGGUGGUCAACCCAGAUGGAGAUUCCUUUGUGAUCAAAGAGAUCUACUAUGGAAUGGUAAGUACAAUCUUGAAAUUUGCUUUUCACUCAGUAGCCAAUUUGACUACUAGUGUUUAAAUUACUGACCAUUUACAACUUCUAUAAAGCCAAUAUCAGAAAUAAAUCAGAUUAUCAAAGUCUUGUUACUGAAAUAUGCACAUGCUUCUUCUAGCCUACUGGGUGAAGUCAGUACAUACAUAUAGGUCAAUAUCACUAAAAAGUGCCUUUGGUAUCCUCACCAGAAUCACUCACUCAUCAUGACCAUAAUGCAAAAUAAUGAAAUUCUGAGGUUUUAAUAUAAAUGGCCAAACAUUUACACACAUACAAGUACAACGAUAAGUCUCUUGAAAUAUGUUUUUCUCAUUUUGUAACAUUUUCUUUGAUUGGAUGUAUGUGAUUAUGGCAUGUCCCUCACA